CUUCCUUCCAUAUGACUGAAAUAUACUUAUUUGGAGGAUGUGUUACUUCUUGGAAAGUUCCCAAUGGAAAGGGCCUUCUUUUUGUUCAUCCUGAUGCUGUUUUCAAUAAGAAGAAACCUAUAAGUGGAGGCAUCCCUCAUUGUUUUCCACAGUUUGGUCCCGGCCCUAUUCAGCAGGUAUCCAUGUCCCAAACUCAUUCCUAUUUUCUAUUUCAAUACGAAGGUUAUAUACUUGUUUUCAGGAGUUGUUUUCAUAAGCUAAUAACAAAGGUAAUCUACUAUUUGGUAUUUGCUUGGUUGUGUAUUUGGCAGCAUGGAUUUGGCUGUAAUUUGGAUUGGACUGUUAUUGAUUUUGAAAAUGUGGAUGGAAAUCCUGUUGUAACUCUUGAACUCAAGGACGAGCCUUAUACUUGAGCUAUGUGGGAUUUCAGCUUUCAUUAUACAAGGUCAAGCUCUUGCUUUCUUUAAGUGCAACAUUACUGCUCAUUCUUGUCAUGCUCUACUACCUACAUGUUGAUGAUGCUAUUUCAUGCUUCCCUUUUUGCAGGUCUCACUAGAUGCUAAAAGUCUUUCAACUGAGUUGAAGAUUAAAAAUACCGACAAUAUGUCGUUCUCAUUUAGUACAGCCUUGCACACGUAUUUUCGUGUGAGUGUUGUAGUUUAUAGUUUUGAAUAAUCAUUAUGGAAUACCGAAAAUGAGAUUUUAUAUUUGCUCUUGAAUGUGGUUAACACUUCAAGUUUAUGUUAGGUUGUGAGAGAUCUGAACUGAAGCCAAGCACCAUGAGAAUUCUUCUUUUAAUAAUUAUUUGAAUGAAUGGUUCUUUAAUAUGAUUACACUUGCUGCUGAAUCUUAUAUAAUGAUCAUUUUAGCAUUGUCAUGCAGGCUUCUGUUAGUGGUGCAUCAGUAAAGGGUCUGAAAGGUAGCAAAACACUGAACAAAGAUCCAGAUCCUAAAAAUCCAGUGGAGGGUCAGGAAGAAAGGUCUGUAUCAGAGUUUAUAUCUGGGAAUUAAUAAGUGGAAAUAAAACAUGGUAAUUUUUUCCACCAGGAAAAAAUGGUAACUUCCGAAUUUUGCUUUCCCAAACUCCAGUGGUGCAACGAAUUGUCUAACUAAUGACUAUUUUCAACUAUGUUUACCAUGCGUGACAUACACUGGCAUGCAUUUUGCAUUGUGCAAGACAAGUACAUGCUUAAAAUUUCAUCUUCCGAAUUUCCCUCAUUUGCCUGAAUGUGAACUAGAACUUGUAACAUUAUAUUCAUUUGGUGGGCCAAUUUUCAUUUCUUGUCAUUAGUCAUCUUUCACCUAAUGCACCAUUUAUCUCAAUGUAAACCAAAAUUUCAUUGAAUAAGAGUCAAACUUGGGGCAUUGGGUCUUGGUUUAAUUUAACAGGCAAUAUUCUUCAUAAUGCAGGGAUCUGGUCAGUUUCCCUGGAUUUGUUGAUUGUGUUUAUCUCAAUGCUUCCAAUGAACUGCAACUUGACAAUGGCUUGGGUGAUUUAAUAUCUAUCAAAAACACAAAGUAUGUAACUUUAAACUUGCAUUACACUUUUAUUAUUUGGUUUGCUCUAGUCAUUAACUUCUUUUCAAAAAACUCGUAAAAAAUCAAAACAUAAAGAAUAUCCCAUCUUAUUUACACUGGCCCCAAAAAAGUCUACUUUUCUUACUUUAGGUAUUAAAAAAAUUGUACAAAUUGCUAAUAUUCUUUGUUUUAGACCCAGAUAUAUAACUGAGUGGCAUUCUUUUGAUUUAGUAACAAUUUUAUUGAUGGUGUAAAUGGAUUAUGGUUAGGUGUUUGGUUCAUGCAUUGUCAUUUGGAACUGCACGCAGGUUGGGGUUGUGAGUGACAUUGCAAACUUGAAAUGUUGAGGUGGAAACUGGACGUGUGUUAUCAAAACUUCGGAUUUGGAAGAGCUCUCGCUAUUAGAAACAUAAUUUUUGUUCAGAUUUUGAUGUUGAUGCACUGGAUGUGGUGAACUUCAAUGUAUCCAUUCCAAAAAAAACCAUCUGAUGAAGUUGAUCUUCUAGUUGAGGCAGAUAUGCUUUUAGUACCAUUGAUAUUAGUGUCAGAGUAAUUUUUCUUACCACUUUCACCUCUAUUCAUGAUAUUUACUUGUCAGAGUAAUUUUUCCAUGCUUAUCUUUUAUCCUGUGAUCAAAUCUCUCUGUAUAGAUAGUUUCCACAUGGAUUGAUGAACACUUGCUGCUUCCUUCCCCUUUGGUAAACCUGCAUGAGUUUCUGAAUGCUUAGAAUUUCACUCGCCGUGUCCCAAAUUCAUGACAUCAUUUACUUGACUUUAAGAAGGUAACAUUAUAUCUUCACCAAUGUCAGUGUAGGAUAAAUGAAAUAAAAAACUUGAAGUAAUUUCAGAGUUAAUUGGAUGUUUUAUUAUUAUUUUUUAUAACAAAAGAGGGAAGAGAGAAGAAAAUUAAGUAAAGCGAGGAAAGUAAAAGCAUUUCAGGAUUGUUAUAUCAUAUGGGUAAAUAGUAAAUAACAAAUGAAAGAGAAAUGAAUUUUGUAUCAAAAUCUAACAGUUAAACUGAAAAUCUGGAAGUACAUAUUACCUCCAACUCUUCAUAUAGAAAACACAAAAGAGCAAAGAAAAUGUCAAGCAGUGUAUGGAACUGUAGUAGUUAGUAUUCACAAUUCAGUGUUUCACUUUUACUAUCUGCAAAAGUUGCGGAGGUUUUUAAUACAACAAUUUAUGUCAAAAAUAAUGUAACCAAAGUUCUUUCUUAAAGUUGAUGUAGUUUUAUUGUUCUCUGUAUCUCUGAUUAAUGGAACUUGAAAAGCUUGGUGUGUUGGGAAAGGAUUUCAUUUAUAGUAUUUAGAUUGUGAAUAUUUAAAAUAAUCUUCAGGUAUAACUGGGUCAGAUUCAAAAGUAAUUUUAAUGUCCGAAAAUUCAUUUCGAAAAACUCAACGAUUUUCACGGGAGGGAAAAACUAUAGAAAAUUUGUUUGUGUUAUUCUAAUCACGUUCGAGCCUUCGUAGCUUAUAAUAUUGAAAUAAAAAUAAUUAUUUAUCUCCACAAAAAUUAAUUUGAAUCAAACACCAUUACAAUGUCCAACUUUGAAAGAAAAAAACAGCAUUUUUUAAUGAGACAAACUUGUGUCUUAUACCAUAAUAUCAUAUCGGGAGAGAUACUGGUUAAAAAUGAUAAUUACAUAUUCAAAAAAUGAUUAGUUUAUUAUCCAAAAUUCACAAUAUCUCAUCUUAGCUAAUUUGAAUAAUAAAAUAAAUAAAUAAUGGUAUGAAAUUUGUGUGUCCCAAAUGGUAAGGGUAGUUGAGUGGAAUAUCCGAAUUUCCGCGGGUACCACUGCAAUGUCCUUAUAAUAAUAUAAGGAGCAUGUGAGAUGAGAUAUGAGAAUAAUGGCGAUGAUGAUAUCCAUGUCAUUCUGUGUCAACACUAACAACACCUUCACAUUUUCGAAUCCUCGCUCAAUCUUCAAAAGGUUUUUGAAUCCAACCCUUUUAUUAUCUUAUCUAUCCUUAAUUCCUUCUCUCUUUUCUGUUCUUCAACUUGAACCUCUUUUUUCUUUUCUCAGGUGUCGUGGAAUGUCAAUUGCGAGUUUAAGUAACAAAGAAAGCACCAAACUUGGUGUCAAUCUUACUGAAGGGGAAGGGAAUUUACCAAAACUUGUUCUUUCUUCACCUGCUGGUAGGUUCGUAUUUCAUCCUUUCUUCCUUUAUCUAAUCUAAUUUGAAUCAAUGAAUGUUGUGAUUUGAUUGUGAUUGUGAAAUUGAAAAUGUUAAUGAGUGUGUAGUGAGGCUGAAAUAUACUUAUUUGGAGGAUGUGUUACUUCUUGGAAAGUUCCAAAUGGAAAGGACCUUCUUUUUGUUCGUCCUGAUGCUGUUUUCAAUAAGAAGAAACCUAUAAGUGGAGGCAUCCCUCAUUGUUUUCCGCAGUUUGGUCCCGGUCCUAUUCAGCAGGUAUCCAUGUCCCUAACUCAUUCCUAUUUUCUAUUUCAAUAUGAAGGUUAUAUACUUGUUUUCAGGAGUUGUUUUCGUAAGCUAAUAACAAAGGUAAUCUACUAUUUGGUACUUGCUUGGUUGUGUAUUUGGCAG
rnacentral:lncRNA from 1 species